rnacentral:lncRNA from 1 species
AUGGAAGUUUGCCAUGUAGAACAACCGAGGAUUAGUCAUGCAUGUAUCAUCUUCUCAAAGAGGAGCCGUGAUGGUAACAGCUCCCCCCAGUCCCAAGCCCUGGAUUCUACCCUGCAUGGUCCUGACGGCUUGUUCCAUCCACACCAAUUUCUCCUGCAUCAGUUAAGCUACUUGGAGGCCCCUAGGACAGCACUUCACUCAGAAGCCCCUGAGAGCUGGUGUGGUCCUGGGCAGGUGACUGGCAUUCCCGGGGAACUGGCUGCAGCUACACCUGCACCUGCAUUCAGAGGGGAGGCGUUUCCAGGAGAUGUUCAGACUGUCAGUUCCUAA